GCGAGUGCGGGCACGUUUGGAAAUGGACGGGUUGAAAGUAAAAAUGAGUAAGAUUACUGGGCCAAAGGCGCAGCCGCCAGACUCGGAGGACAUGCGGAAGGGACGCCAACCUGCAUUUGGACACGUGUGAGUA